CACGUAGGGCGCAAGCGUUGUCCGGAAUUAUUGGGCGUAAAGAGCUCGUAGGUGGUUCGGUAAGUCGGGUGUUAAACCCCCAGGCUCAACCUGGGGACGCCACUCGAUACUGCUGUGACUUGAGUCCGGUAGGGGAGCGUGGAAUUCCUGGUGUAGCGGUGAAAUGCGCAGAUAUCAGGAGGAACACCAGCGGCGAAGGCGGCGCUCUGGGCCGGUACUGACACUGAGGAGCGAAAGCGUGGGGAGCAAACAGG
rnacentral:rRNA from 1 species